rnacentral:rRNA from 1 species
UACGAAGGGGGCUAGCGUUGCUCGGAAUCACUGGGCGUAAAGCGCGCGUAGGCGGAUCUUUAAGUCAGGGGUGAAAUCCUGGAGCUCAACUCCAGAACUGCCUUUGAUACUGAGGAUCUUGAGUCCGGGAGAGGUGAGUGGAACUCCGAGUGUAGAGGUGAAAUUCGUAGAUAUUCGGAAGAACACCAGUGGCGAAGGCGGCUCACUGGCCCGGUACUGACGCUGAGGUGCGAAAGCGUGGGGAGCAAACAGG